rnacentral:rRNA from 1 species
UACGUAGGGUGCGAGCGUUGUCCGGAAUUAUUGGGCGUAAAGAGCUUGUAGGCGGUUUGUCGCGUCUGCCGUGAAAGCCCAGGGCUUAACCCUGGGUCUGCGGUGGGUACGGGCAGACUAGAGUGUGGUAGGGGAGACUGGAAUUCCUGGUGUGGCGGUGAAAUGCGCAGAUAUCAGGAGGAACACCGAUGGCGAAGGCAGGUCUCUGGGCCACUACUGACGCUGAGAAGCGAAAGCAUGGGGAGCAAACAGG